UAGGGAAUAUUGGUCAAUGGGCGAGAGCCUGAACCAGCCAUGCCGCGUGCAGGAUGACGGCCUUCUGGGUUGUAAACUGCUUUUCUACAAGAAGAAAAAGGCCUUGCGAGGCAAAUUGCCGGUAUUGUAGGAAUAAGCACCGGCUAACUCCGUG
rnacentral:rRNA from 1 species